GACCCCUACUACCACAACUGCCUCCAGAACGGGAGACUCCAGCCCUCACUGAAAAGCCUGCUGCCAACCCCACUAGCCACAUCCCCGGUGAGAGGCAGGAGCCCUGGCGGUGGCAGAAGAAAAGCCGAUUCGAGUCCAUCCUUUGUACACUCAUGUGAAGGCAAGCAGCAGAGAC
rnacentral:lncRNA from 1 species